rnacentral:rRNA from 1 species
UACAGAGGUCUCAAGCGUUGUUCGGAUUCAUUGGGCGUAAAGGGUGCGUAGGUGGCGCCGUAAGUCAGGUGUGAAAUUUCGGAGCUUAACUCCGAAACUGCAUUUGAUACUGCGGUGCUUGAGGUCUGGAGAGGAGACUGGAAUUCACGGUGUAGCAGUGAAAUGCGUAGAUAUCGUGAGGAAGACCAGUGGCGAAGGCGGGUCUCUGGACAGUUCCUGACACUGAGGCACGAAGGCCAGGGGAGCAAACGGG